rnacentral:rRNA from 1 species
UGCUAAGACUGGAUAGGAGACAAGAAGGCAUCUUCUUGUUUUUAAAAGACCUAGCAAUAGGUAUGCUUAGGGAGGAGCUUGCGUCACAUUAGUUAGUUGGUGGGGUAAAGGCCUACCAAGACUAAGAUGUGUAGCCGGGCUGAGAGGUUGAACGGCCACAUUGGGACUGAGACACGGCCCAAACUCCUACGGGAGGCAGCAGUAGGGAAUUUUCGGCAAUGGAGGAAACUCUGACCGAGCAACGCCGCGUGAACGAUGAAGUAUUUCGGUACGUAAAGUUCUUUUAUUAGGGAAGAAUAAAUGAUGGAAAAAUCAUUCUGACGGUACCUAAUGAAUAAGCCCCGGCUAACUAUGUGCCAGCAGCCGCGGUAAUACAUAGGGGGCAAGCGUUAUCCGGAAUUAUUGGGCGUAAAGGGUGCGUAGGCGGUUAAAUAAGUUUAUGGUCUAAGUGCAAUGCUCAACAUUGUGAUGCUAUAAAAACUGUUUAGCUAGAGUAAGAUAGAGGCAAGUGGAAUUCCAUGUGUAGUGGUAAAAUGCGUAAAUAUAUGGAGGAACACCAGUAGCGAAGGCGGCUUGCUGGGUCUUUACUGACGCUGAGGCACGAAAGCGUGGGGAGCAAACAGGAUUAGAUACCCUGGUAGUCCACGCCGUAAACGAUGAGUACUAAACGUUGGGUAAAACCAGUGUUGAAGUUAACACAUUAAGUACUCCGCCUGAGUAGUACGUACGCAAGUAUGAAACUUAAAGGAAUUGACGGGACUCCGCACAAGCGGUGGAUCAUGUUGUUUAAUUCGAAGGUACCCGAAAAACCUCACCAGGUCUUGACAUGCUUCUGCAAAGCUGUAGAAACACAGUGGAGGUUAUCAGUUGCACAGGUGGUGCAUGGUUGUCGUCAGCUCGUGUCGUGAGAUGUUGGGUUAAGUCCCGCAACGAGCGCAACCCUUAUUGUUAGUUACCAGCACGUAAUGGUGGGGACUUUAGCAAGACUGCCAGUGAUAAAUUGGAGGAAGGUGGGGACGACGUCAAAUCAUCAUGCCCCUUAUGACCUGGGCUACAAACGUGAUACAAUGGCUGUUACAAAGGGUAGCUGAAGCGCAAGUUUUUGGCGAAUCUCAAAAAAACAGUCUCAGUUCGGAUUGAAGUCUGCAACUCGACUUCAUGAAGUUGGAAUCGCUAGUAAUCGCGAAUCAGCAUGUCGCGGUGAAUACGUUCUCGGGGUUUGUACACA